rnacentral:misc_RNA from 1 species
ACUAAAGCCUUUUGAAAAUGGGCACUGCCAUUCUACGGUGUCUUGUCAUAUUACUUUAUUAACCCUUUUCUUUUAUGGGUUUGAGAGGCCUCCGCGCCGGCGACGUGCUAUAUAAAGCUAAGAAGCGCAAAAUAAGUAAGUAAAAAGGAAAAAGAGAAUAAGGUGUCCAGAUUCAUCCUCCGAAAUUGCCCAUUUACACCAGCCCAUCCCUCUAUAAAUUCUGUCACCGUCUCCUACUAGUACUUGCUGAAGAUCACUUCUCAGCUCUCACCAACGUCAUUUGACAAACCUUAAUUUCAGUAUCCUAAAAAGACUUGUUUUUUUUCUUUUUCUAUUAUUAAACGCCUAUC